CCGAGUUGAUUCGGGGCUCCGUCCCCGAUCCUCCCACCCUUUGUAUACCUACCUCUGUUGCUUUGGCGGGCCGCGGUCUUUCCGCGGCCGCCCCCCGAUUUUGGGGGUGGCUAGUGCCCGCCAGAGGACUAUCAAACUCCAGUCAGUAAACGUUGCAGUCUGAAAAAAAUAUUAAAUAAACUA
rnacentral:misc_RNA from 1 species